rnacentral:rRNA from 1 species
UGGGGAAUUUUGGACAAUGGGCGCAAGCCUGAUCCAGCCAUUCCGCGUGCAGGAUGAAGGCCCUCGGGUUGUAAACUGCUUUUGUACGGAACGAAACGGCGCUUGUUAAUACCAGGCGCUAAUGACGGUACCGUAAGAAUAAGCACCGGCUAACUACGUGCCAGCAGCCGCGGUAAUACGUAGGGUGCGAGCGUUAAUCGGAAUUACUGGGCGUAAAGCGUGCGCAGGGCGGGUGAUGUAAGACAGAUGUGAAAUCCCCGGGCUCAACCUGGGAACUGCAUUUGUGACUGCAUCGCUGGAGUGCGGCAGAGGGGGAUGGAAUUCCGCGUGUAGCAGUGAAAUGCGUAGAUAUGCGGAGGAACACCGAUGGCGAAGGCAAUCCCCUGGGCCUGCACUGACGCUCAUGCACGAAAGCGUGGGGAGCAAACAGGAUUAGAUACCCUGGUAGUCCACGCCCUAAACGAUGUCAACUGGUUGUUGGUCCUUCACUGGAUCA